GGAAGGCACUUUAGACAUUUUUCUUUUUUAGUUGAAGUAUUAAGAAUUAAUCAUGCUUCUCUUGGUUUUAAAGUAUUGUAUUUUUCUUUUAAAUUAUUUUUAAAUCUUAAUAUUAUUAUCUAUAUUGUGUUUUUUUAUUUUGUAGGAUAUACCAUACUAUCAUUGUCCAACUGUGAAGAAGUAGGUAGGUAGCCAAUUUUAAUAGUGCAGAUCUUUGAAGAUCAGGAUAUGUAGAUGUGAAUUGGAAAGUGGCAACAUAUACAUAGUUCAGACUUCAGAAAUUUAGUUAGACAUGAUUUAUGGAAAUUGGGUUCAUUAAUUUUUGGACAUUCAAAACUAUACCAUACUACUAUAGUACUAUUGUCUGAUUGUGAAGAAGUAGGGAGCCAAUUUUAAUAGUGCAGAUCUUAGAAGACCAAGAUGUGUAGAUGUGAAUUAGAAAGCGGUAACAUAUACCUAGUUCAGACUUCAGAAAUUUAGUUAGGCAUGAGUUAUGGAAAUUGGAUUCAUACAUUUUUGGUCAUUCAAAGUAGCUUUAGAAACCCUAAUAAAUGUAUUUUCUAUCUAAUAAUUGUAUUAAAUAUAAUUAAAUAAGAUUUUAUAUUUAACUUAUGA